GACGAACGCUGGCGGCGUGCUUAACACAUGCAAGUCGAACGGUAAGGCUCUUCGGGGUACACGAGUGGCGAACGGGUGAGUAACACGUGGGUGAUCUGCCCUGCACUUCGGGAUAAGCCUGGGAAACUGGGUCUAAUACCGGAUAGGACCACUGCCUGCAUGGGUGGUGGUGGAAAGCUUUUGCGGUGUGGGAUGGGCCCGCGGCCUAUCAGCUUGUUGGUGGGGUGAUGGCCUACCAAGGCGACGACGGGUAGCCGGCCUGAGAGGGUGACCGGCCAAACUGGGGCUGGGGUACGGCCCAGACUCCUAAGGGAAGCAGGAGUGGGGAAUAUUGCACCAUGGGCGCAAGCCUGAUGCAGCGACGCCGCGUGAGGGAUGACGGCCUUCGGGUUGUAAACCUCUUUUAGUAGGGAAGAAGCGAAAGUGACGGUACCUGCAGAAAAAGCACCGGCUAACUACGUGCCAGCAGCCGCAGUAA
rnacentral:rRNA from 1 species